CCCUUAGAUGUUCUGGGCUGCACGCGCGCUACACUGAUGCACUCAACGAGUUUACGACCUUGCCCGAUAGGGUUGGGUAAUCUUUUUAAAAUGCAUCGUGAUGGGGAUAGAUUAUUGCAAUUAAUAAUCUUCAACGAGGAAUUCCUAGUAAGCGCGAGUCAUCAGCUCGUGCUGAUUACGUCCCUGCCCUUUGUACACACCGCCCGUCGCUCCUACCGAUUGAGUGCUCAGGUGAAUAAUUCGGACUGCAGCAAUGUUUGGAUCCCGAACGUUGCAGCGGAAAGUUUAGUGAACCUUAUCACUUAGAGGAAGGAGAAGUCGUAACA
rnacentral:rRNA from 1 species